rnacentral:rRNA from 1 species
GACGAACGCUGGCGGCGUGCUUAACACAUGCAAGUCGAACGGAAAGGCCCCUUUGGGGGUACUCGAGUGGCGAACGGGUGAGUAACACGUGAGUAACCUGCCCUUGACUUCGGGAUAACUUCAGGAAACUGGGGCUAAUACCGGAUAGGAAUCCUUGCUGCAUGGUGGGGGUUGGAAAGCUUCGGCGGUUUUGGAUGGACUCGCGGCUUAUCAGCUUGUUGGUGGGGUAGUGGCUUACCAAGGCUUUGACGGGUAGCCGGCCUGAGAGGGCGACCGGCCACAUUGGGACUGAGAUACGGCCCAGACUCCUACGGGAGGCAGCAGUGGGGAAUAAUGCACAAUGGGCGGAAGCCUGAUGCAGCAACGCCGCGUGCGGGAUGACGGCCUUCGGGUUGUAAACCGCUUUCAGCAGGGGCGAAGCUUGUGGUGACGGUACCUGCAGAAGAAGCACCGGCUAACUACGUG